CGGGACAAGCCUAUGUAUGAUGAAAUCUUCUACACCUUAUCCCCGGUGGAUGGCAAGAUUACGGGCGCCAAUGCCAAAAAGGAGAUGGUGCGCUCCAAGUUGCCCAACAGCGUCCUGGGGAAGAUCUGGAAGCUAGCCGACAUUGACAAGGAUGGCAUGUUGGAUGAUGAGGAGUUUGCCCUGGCCAACCACCUUAUCAAAGUCAAGCUAGAGGGGCAUGAGCUGCCCAGUGAGCUGCCUGCCCAUCUCCUCCCUCCAUCUAAGAGGAAAGUAGCGGAGUGAGAGAGCCAGGCAGCUUCAGACAGACAGUGUCAAAAGAGAGGAUAGACGUGAUGACCACACACACACACACACACACACACACACACACACACACACACACACACGACUUGACAGUCACACUAUAAAUGAGAAGGGUUUGUCUUUGUUUGAGUACCUCUCCAAGUCCCCAGGGUUGGAGGAAGGGCGCUUUACCUCCUCUGUCUUAGGAUAUAGGCCUGUGUCCAAACUUUCUCUCCAUCUCCCUCCCAUUCCCCCAAAGACAUGAGGCAAUUAACACAGAUGGCCCACCCACCCUCUCCCCAGUGCCUUCACAUCUAGGCCCUGAGCAGAUGGGAAAGGCUUUUUGUGGAAUAGACAAUUCGCUUUAUUUUCUAUGCUUUUAUUUUUCCUCUGUGGCUUCCUAAGUAGAAAUUUACUCAGGGGCUGGGAGCUGGGAGGGAAAGGAGAAGCUAAGUGGGGAUGUUCAAACUGAGAAACCUCCAUAGGGCACUGCACCCACACUUGAAAAGACACUGGCCUAUGUUCUCUGUGGUUCUCUAAACCUAAGACUCUCUGUCUUCCUCAGUAAACUUGGACCUUAAAUACUGCCUGCCGCUUUGUGUCAAAGACUCCCAAAUCAGAAGAGAGAAAGAGUGGGGCUGGGGAUUUAGCUCAGUGGUAGAGCGCUUACCUAGGAAGAAGAAGAAGAGAGAAAGAACAAUUUGAUAGGAAAGCACAAGGAAGCUGCCCUAUGGUGUUCAUGAACAGGGCAUGUGCAGCUCAUGGGUUUAUUGCCCACCCCGCUCCCCGCCCCAGCCUAGCAUCUCUGGAUGCUCAGUUUCUUUAUACAUACCAAGCCAUUCCUGUGUGGCAGGAGCAGGGCGAGGCACUUUAUAUGUUUUAGUCCCUGUGACCUUCAUGAAUGUCCUAGGCAAGUGUGCUUCCUUCCUGUCAUUGCAGGACUCAGUAGUUUGGGGUACCUCCCCAAACUGGAACUCACAGGGAGAGAAGGUUCAAAUCCAGAAUUUGAGACCCUUCUAUUUGUCCCCGUUCUGUCAUGGAUGAAAGAUCCCAGUAUUGCUACCUGGUGACAAAGCACAGGACAGUCUGAACACAGAACCUCUCACACAGCCUUCCAGAGCAUCCAGGCAAGGGAGGGAGGCUCACCAGCCUUGGGUGGGCCAUCAAUCUGGCCAUCUGUUACCUUGUAGAAGGAAACUGUGCCUUCUGGCCUGCUCCUCAUGUUCACAACAUCACAGAAGUACAACCAAGCCAUGAGGAGAGUGGGCUGGCCUGCUAGAUGUUGUCUGUGCCUAUUCCUGCUCAGCCUCCCAUUUAGUAACCUAAAACAUCCCAGCUCGAAUUCAGCCACAGGCUUUUACAAAGCAGGACUCCAUGCUAAUUCACAGAAGGCCAUCUUGAGAGGACUGGAACCUUGUUCUCUACAGUGUUCCAGAGACACUGGUGUCGUUGGCAAAAAUUCUCCUUGUGCUCAGUGCCCUCCAUCUUCCUCCUGGCUUGGUCCAUGGCCACUGACACAGUAGCUGUCUGCUGCACUCCUACUGUGAUAGAAAACAAAGCAAGUAUAACUUAUUUUGUAUCUAUGUUCAGACAAUAGAGACUGUUCUGUGUAUCUACGAUGUGCUUAUAAUUGUCAUUAGGAUUCAUGUUAAUACAACAUAUUUACCCUUUGGUAUUC
rnacentral:lncRNA from 1 species